rnacentral:rRNA from 1 species
UACGUAGGGAGCAAGCGUUGUCCGGAAUCAUUGGGCGUAAAGCGCGCGUAGGUGGCCUCAUAAGUCCGCUGUGAAAGUCAAAGGCUCAACCUUUGAAAGCCGGUGGAUACUGUGAGGCUAGAGUACGGAAGAGGCGAGUGGAAUUCCUGGUGUAGCGGUGGAAUGCGCAGAUAUCAGGAGGAACACCAAUAGCGAAGGCAGCUCGCUGGGACGUUACUGACACUGAGGCGCGAAAAGCGUGGGGGAGCGAACGG